UGAAGAUGAAGGCCCAAAGGAACCCU
rnacentral:piRNA from 1 species